UAGUCCACGCAGUAACCGAUGAGUACUAGUUGUCGGGAUUUUUCUCGGUGGCGAAGCUAACGCGUUAAGCACUCCGCCUGGGGAGUACGGCCGCAAGGCUAAAACUCAAAGGAAUUGACGGGGACCCGCACAGGCGGUGGAGCAUGUGGUUUAAUUCGAUGCAACGCGAAGAACCUUACCAGCCCUUGACAUCCUGGGAAUCUUAUAGAGAUAUGAGAGUGCCCUCGGGAAUCCAGUGACAGGUGCUGCAUGGCUGUCGUCAGCCCGUGUCGUGAGAUGUUGGGUUAAGUCCCGCAACGAGCGCAACCCUUGUCCCUAGUUGCCAGCACGUUAUGGUGGGAACUCUAGGGAGACUGCCGGUGAUAAACCGGAGGAAGGUGGGGAUGACGUCAAGUCAUCAUGGCCCUUAUGGGCUGGGCUACACACGUGCUACAAUGGUCGGUACAGUGGGAAGCAAUACUGCGAAGUGGAGCGAAUCCUCAAAGCCGGCCCCGGUUCGGA
rnacentral:rRNA from 1 species